rnacentral:rRNA from 1 species
GGGGCAGCAUUAGUUUGCUUGCAAACUGGAUGGCGACCGGCGCACGGGUGAGUAACACGUAUCCACCUGCCGAUAACUCCGGAAUAGCCUUUCGAAAGAAAGAUUAAUACCGGAUAGCAUCGCAUGAUUAAAGAAUUUCGGUUAUCGAUGGGGAUGCGUUCCAUUAGUUUGUUGGCGGGGUAACGGCCCACCAAGACUACGAUGGAUAGGGGUUCUGAGAGGAAGGUCCCCCACAUUGGAACUGAGACACGGUCCAAACUCUACGGGAGGCAGCAGUGAGGAAUAUUGGUCAAUGGGCGAGAGCCUGAACCAGCCAAGUAGCGUGAAGGAUGAAGGCUUAUGGGUCGUAAACUUCUUUUAUAUGGGAAUAAGUUUUCCACGUGUGGAAUUUUGUAUGUACCAUAUGAAUAAGGAUCGGCUAACUCCGUGCCAGCAGCCGCGGUAAUACGGAGGAUUCGAGCGUUAUCCGGAUUUAUUGGGUUUAAAGGGAGCGUAGGUGGAUUGUUAAGUCAGUUGUGAAAGUUUGCGGCUCAACCGUAAAAUUGCAGUUGAAACUGGCAGUCUUGAGUACAGUAGAGGUGGGCGGAAUUCGUGGUGUAGCGGUGAAAUGCUUAGAUAUCACGAAGAACUCCGAUUGCGAAGGCAGCUCACUAGACUGUCACUGACACUGAUGC